rnacentral:rRNA from 1 species
AGCGAACGCUGGCGGCAGGCCUAACACAUGCAAGUCGAACGGACCCUUCGGGGUUAGUGGCGGACGGGUGAGUAACACGUGGGAACGUGCCUUUAGGUUCGGAAUAGCUCCUGGAAACGGGUGGUAAUGCCGAAUGUGCCCUUCGGGGGAAAGAUUUAUCGCCUUUAGAGCGGCCCGCGUCUGAUUAGCUAGUUGGUGAGGUAAUGGCUCACCAAGGCGACGAUCAGUAGCUGGUCUGAGAGGAUGACCAGCCACAUUGGGACUGAGACACGGCCCAAACUCCUACGGGAGGCAGCAGUGGGGAAUCUUGCGCAAUGGGCGAAAGCCUGACGCAGCCAUGCCGCGCGGAUGAUGAAGGUCUUAGGAUUGUAAAAUCCUUUCACCGGUGAAGAUAAUGACUGUAGCCGGAGAAGAAGCCCCGGCUAACUUCGUGCCAGCCGCCGCUGUAAGAC